AGACCAGGACAUGGAAGGAGACACUGUUCCAUAUUCGUAACUCUUUUUGCAAUCAGCCCCUUUCCCAAUCUUGCUGGAAUGUGGCCAUCUACACUCUGUGUACUUCUGGGAACGUCCAAGUUGCCCAACAAAGGCAUAGGGGUCACUAGACCUGAAUUUGACUCACGGGUCUCUGACUCACUUGGGCUUGUAAUGUGACCCAGCGAGGUAUCACCUGAAGUGGGGCUGAUAACCAUCUGGCCUCCAGGAGCGCUGGGAUUGGAUGAGACAAUGACUGUCAGAGCUUAGCAUGCAAUCCAUGUCAUACACUGUGUUCGUCUCACAGAUGUCGCUUCAGCAAGCAUGCUGGCUUCCUGCUAGGUUUGGGGAUGUUGCUGAUCUAGCCUGGAUCACCUAUUAUUAACAGGAAGGCGAAUUACCCUAUUUACAUGCAGCGUGGACAGUGAGAGAGAGAGACAGAGAGAAAGGUCUUCCUUUUUGCUGUUGGUUCACCUUCCAAUGGCCGCCGCGGCCGGUGCGCUGCGGCCAUCGCAUCGCGCUGAUCCGAAGCCAGGAGCCAGGUACUUCUCCUGGUCUCCCAUGUGGGUGCAGGGCCCAAGCACUUGGGCCAUCCUCCACCGCACUCCCAGGCCACAGCAGAGAGCUGGCCUGGAAGAGGAGCAACCGGGACAGAAUCUGGCACCCCAACCGGGACUAGAACCUGGGGUGCAGGCGCGCAGGCGGAGGAUUAACCAGCUGAGAGAACAUAGUGCCUGCUACACUGAAGACAAGUUUCCCGCUAAAGGAAAUGUAUUGAAGAAAACUUCCUGAAAACCUACUCCAACACAAACAACAGCCUAUUCCUGACACAACUCCAAAUCCCUUACAAGUUUAGUAGUUAAAAAGCUAACCCUCGGGGCAUAGGAGGUAAAGCUGUCGCCUGCAGUGCCAGCAUCCCACAUGGGUGCCAGUUCAAGCCCAGCUGCACGACUUCCAAUCCAGCUCUCUGCUAUGGCCUGGGAAAGCAGUAGAUGGCCCAAGUCCUUGGGCCCCUGCAUCUGCAUGGGAGAUCCAGAAGCUCCUGGUUCCUGGCUUCGGAUUGUCCCAGCUCCUGAUUGGCCUAGCUCUGGCUGUUGCAGCCAUUUGGAGAGUGAACCAGUGGAUGGAAGACCUUUCUCUCUCUCUCUCUCUGCCUCUGCCUCUCUGUAACUCUACCUUUCAAAUAAAU